UACGUAGGGUGCGAGCGUUGUCCGGAAUUAUUGGGCGUAAAGGGCUCGUAGGCGGUCUGUCGCGUCGGUAGUGAAAACUCAGGGCUUAACCCUGAGCCUGCUUCCGAUACGGGCAGACUAGAGGUAUGCAGGGGAGAAUGGAAUUCCUGGUGUAGCGGUGAAAUGCGCAGAUAUCAGGAGGAACACCGAUGGCGAAGGCAGGUCUCUGGGCAUUAACUGACGCUGAGGAGCGAAAGCAUGGGGAGCGAACAGG
rnacentral:rRNA from 1 species